rnacentral:rRNA from 1 species
GAGUUUGAUCUUGGCUCAGGAUGAACGCUGGCGGCGUGCUUAACACAUGCAAGUCGAGCGAAGCACUUUACUUUGAUUUCUUCGGAAUGAAGAGUGAUUUGACUGAGCGGCGGACGGGUGAGUAACGCGUGGGCAACCUGCCUCAUACAGGGGGAUAACAGUUAGAAAUGACUGCUAAUACCGCAUAAGACCACAGUACCGCAUGGUAUGGUGGUAAAACUCCGGUGGUAUGAGAUGGGCCCCGCGUCUGAUUAGGUAGUUGGUGGGUAACGGCCCACCAAGGCGAUGAUCAGUAGCCGGUCUGAGAGGAUGAACGGCCACAUUGGGACUGAGACACGGCCCAGACUCCUACGGGAGCAGCAGUGGGGAAUCUUCCGCAAUGGACG